rnacentral:rRNA from 1 species
UACGUAGGGUGCGAGCGUUGUCCGGAAUUAUUGGGCGUAAAGAGCUCGUAGGCGGUUUGUCGCGUCGACUGUGAAAACCUACAGCUUAACUGUGGGCUUGCAGUCGAUACGGGCAGACUUGAGUUCGGUAGGGGAGACUGGAAUUCCUGGUGUGGCGGUGAAAUGCGCAGAUAUCAGGAGGAACACCGGUGGCGAAGGCGGGUCUCUGGGCCGAUACUGACGUGAGGAGCGAAAGCGUGGGGGAGCGAACAGG